rnacentral:rRNA from 1 species
AUACGGAGGGUGCAAGCGUUAUUCGGAAUCACAGGGCGUAAAGGACGCGUAGGCGGGUUGGCAAGUCAGAUGUGAAAUCCUACAGCUUAACUGUAGAACUGCAUUUGAAACUGCUAACCUAGAGUAUGGGAGGGGGAGAUGGAAUUAGUGGUGUAGGGGUAAAAUCCGUAGAUAUCACUAGGAAUACCGAAAGCGAAGGCGAUCUCCUGGAACAUAACUGACGCUAAGGCGUGAAAGCGUGGGGAGCAAACAGGAUUAGAAACCCUUGUAGUCC